AUUGAACGCUGGCGGCAGGCCUAACACAUGCAAGUCGGGCGAGCGACGGACGGGUGAGUAAUGUAUGGGGAUCUGCCUGAUGGCGGGGGAUAACUACUGGAAACGGUAGAUAAUACCGCAUACCAUCAGAUGAACCCAUAUGGGAUUAGCUUGUAGGUGGGGUAACGGAUCACCUAGGCGACGAUCCCUAGCUGGUCUGAGAGGAUGAUCAGCCACACUGGGACUGAGACACGGCCCAGACUCCUACGGGAGGCAGCAGUGGGGAAUAUUGGACAAUGGGCGCAAGCCUGAUGCAGCCAUGCCGCGUGUAUGAAGAAGGCCUUCGGGUUGUAAAGUACUUUCAUUCGGGAGGCGUUACCGACAGAAGAAGCACCGGCUAACUCCGUUCCAGCCGCCGCGGUAAUAC
rnacentral:rRNA from 1 species